UGGCGGACGGGUGAGUAAUGUCUGGGAAACUGCCCGAUGGAGGGGGAUAACUACUGGAAACGGUAGCUAAUACCGCAUAACGUCGCAAGACCAAAGAGGGGGACCUUCGGGCCUCUUGUCAUCGGAUGUGCCCAGAUGGGAUUAGCUAGUAGGUGGGGUAACGGCUUACCUAGGCGACGAUCCCUAGCUGGUCUGAGAGGAUGAUCAGCCACACUGGGACUGAGACACGGCCCAG
rnacentral:rRNA from 1 species